UGGCAGAAGUCCUCUCUAGCCAGGAGAGCCUCUGAACAUGCUGGUCUUCAUCUAGCCAAUGGAUGUGUGAGGAAGCAUGGGAGACAGCCUGAACAGGCCCUUCAAUCCAAUAAGAGGUUACGGUUAGCAACAAAUCCAGACCUUUCCCCUGUUUGUUGAACAAUGGUACCUGUAGCUUUCAGUCUGGUUUCACCAGGCUACGGUCCCCAGGCUCUUGUUGGCAUUGGAAACGUUUAAUUUAUCCAAUCGCAUAUUGAUCAGUGAUUCAAGGAAGGAUGCAUUUUAACAAUGUUGGCAAUUCAAAGGCCUCUUCAUACUCCCCUAUAAUGGACAGUUUCAAGGCGUAAACUCAGUGAUUUUUAAUGGACUGACUGUAUAUUCAAAGGAAAUGGUACUACGUUGAUAUUUAAAAAAAAAAAAAAAAAAUGUUUAAGUAAUUUUAAA